GAUGAAGAACGUAGCGAAAUGCGAUAAUUAAUGUGAAUUGCAGAUUUCAGUGAAUCAUCGAGUUUUUGAACGCACAUUGCGCCCCCUGGUAUUCCUAGGGGCAUGCCUAUUCGAGCGUCAUUAUCCUCCCUCAAACCCCGGGUUUGGUGUUGGACCGAAGUUGUGUGAACAACUGGUCUAAAAAACAAUGACGGCGUCCGUGGGACCCUCGGUGCAACGAGCUUUUAGGAGCACGCGCCGAGUUGCAAGGACCUUCCGGGCCGGUCUCCUUUUACUAUUUUACAAGGUUGACCUCGGAUCAGGUAGGAAUACCCGCUGAACUUAAGCAUAUCAAUAAGCGGAGGA
rnacentral:misc_RNA from 1 species